rnacentral:rRNA from 1 species
UACAGAGGUCUCAAGCGUUGUUCGGAUUCAUUGGGCGUAAAGGGUGCGUAGGCGGCGCGGUAAGUCGGGGUGUGAAAUCUUGGAGCUUAACUCCGAAACUGCAUUCGAUACUGCCGUGCUUGAGGACUGGAGAGGAGACUGGAAUUUACGGUGUAGCGGUGAAAUGCGUAGAUAUCGUAAGGAAGACCAGUGGCGAAGGCGGGUCUCUGGACAGUAACUGACACUCAACUGCGAAAGCGUGGGGAGCAAACAGG